CAGGUCUUUUACCAAUUGUGUCUUCCUUUCUUCACCAUUUUCCCCACGCAUCAAAUCCCACCCUCGACGACCGAUUACAAAGGAAAGCGGUCAGGGUCGAGAACUCGGAGCCAAAAUCUGAAUUCUUGUCCCCUUCCUCAUCGAAGCCCAGCUCCCUUCCUAGUCGAAGCCCAGAUCCAAAUUGUUAUCCCCCUCCUCGUCGGAGCCUAGCUCAUUUCCUCGUCAUCCUCUUCAUUCGUCGGAGUCCAAAUCAGAAGAAUUUGAAUCAUCGUCCUCCUCCUUCAACCCAUGGAAAAAGUAUUGUUGUCAAAGAUCAAAGGUGAACGGAGGAGGUGGGAAGGGUGUGUGUGUAAAGGAGGAGGGAGGACCAGAGCAAAAAAGAAGAAGACUACGAAGACGAACCUGGGAUCCAGACAAGAGAUAGUAAGCAAUGAGAGAGAGUUGAAGGAGAGUGUUGCGAAAGAGGGACAGAGUGAGCGAGAGAGGUCCACUCGACUAAUAAUACAGAAGUUUUGGAUGAGAUAAACAAGCAGAUGCGAAGGGUACAAAAUAAGUGGGGCCGGAUUAAAUAAUCCGGUGCUUAUUUAUUAUGAAGCUCACCAAACAUCCGUUUUGUAUUAUUAGUAGUAUUCGGUGGUCUUAUACGAUGUGCUAAACAAGGCCAGAAAGUUCUAAAGUGUUUGUUUAACCCAAAAACAUUUCUAACUAGGCCAGAACACUUUUGAAUCCUUGCAAAACUGACUUUUUAAUGUAUGCCCAAAUAGUUUUAUCACCUCAUAUAGCAUCAUUACACUUAGUAUAGGCUUUUUAAAUUAUACACUUCAUCUAUUUAUCGAUACUCAUGUCUAUGUAUAUACAGUAUGUAUAUUCCGAGUUGUCUUACUCCAAACUUUAAAAGUCAUGGUCCUACAAUAAAAUGUCAUUACACUUACUCUUUUAAAUUAUACACUCAUCUAAGUUAGAUUUAUGGAUUUUCAUGUCUAAAGUAUAUAUUUGUCUGGCAUUUCAAUUAGGUAGGAAGACUAAAUUUUGUAAACAAAUGAUAUGGAAGUUGACGAUUAGAUUAUUACUUAAUUAUUGAUUACGUGUUUAUUUUUUAUUAGUGACGCAUCAUUUAGUUUGUAAAUUUAGUCUACAAAUUUAAUCUCCAUAGCAUUACCCUUCCACUUAGAGAACUGUUAAAACACACCAAAAAAUUCAUCAAGCACUUCAACUUUAUAAAAAUAAAUAAUGUAUUUGUAUAAGAAAUAGUGCAAGUACAUGAUGACAUUUUUUUAGAGUGCCAAAAACAACUCAUUUCACGUAUAUAGUGUGUCUAUAUAUAUAUAUGUAUAUGUAUGUAUGUAUAUGUAUGUAUAUGUAUGUAUAUAUAUAUAUGUAUAUGUAUAUGUAUGUAUGUAUAUGUGUGUGUGUGUGUGAUUGACGUAUGGCUUUUUAAGUAUCUAUGCAUAUAAAAAAAAUUAUAUAUUUAAGUAUGUGUGUAUAGAAAAAAAAAUUAUGCAAACAUUUUUUCUUCUCAUGCAUAUGACCCCUAUUUUUUUCUACCUAUUUAAUUGAAAUAUAAAAAGAGAAUCGAGGGCCAAAAUUAAAAAACGAGUGGAAAAAUAUUUGCAUAAAUUACUCCACAGGUGCAAUUUUAUGGAUUCGGCUUACAUUUUGGCCCUAAUUCAUAUUGUAUAUUUCUAUAUGUUACAAGUGAAAUAGCCUGAUUAGUUUUAUCCAACAGUUAAUUAUACAGAUCAACUACAUAAGCCUCGGCAUACGUUCUUGAUUUCUAAUUAAUUGAUUAACCUGUCAGGGCACUUUAACAGAGAGCAUUCCUAUAUUUCUUCUUAUGAGGACUAUUAGAUUGGACAAGACAAGAGAGCUAUUAGAUUGUGAAAAAUAUAAUCUAAAAAGAGCACUAAAAUUAUUCUUUGUUGCCUACGGAAUACGGAUCCCUCAAUGCAGACUAGAAGGAAGGAAGAAAGGCCAACAAGGACCAGCACAGAUUCUUAUUUACCUUUCAAAGCACUACCUAAGAUAAACACACAGAUAAUGGAAUUAUUCCACAUAAAAUCAAAAACAGAAAGAAAAAAAGCAGUCAAAAGUUUUAUUAGAAAAACACUUUGUAAUGGAUUAAGUGGAAUUUAACCAAAGAAAAGCAUGCAAGUAUAUAAUUAAGAAUCAAGAGUACGUGUAAAAGCCACAUUACUUUGUUGGAACUUUUGGUCAAAACUAAAAGCAGUGUCUGUGUCUCGGAGGUCCAUGGCAUUUCCAUGAAAAAUGAUUUGCACACAUAAAUGAGUACAAGGUUCCCUCCUACGAUGCUAAAACCCUCCUUUGUUUAAUACAUUACCCAAAAAUAAUAUUUAAAAGAAAAAGCUACAACGCAACGUCAUCCAUGACAUACAAGGUGAUCUCCAUCUUAGCGCAGCAAAAAAAAAAGGUCAUUUCAGUUAAUUCAGUUAAUUCUCUUAAAGGGAUUAGAUGCUUCAAAUCACUUGAAGCAUUAUCGUAGUUGACCAUAUAACCAGAGCAACUGUUUGAAUCAAAACUUGAUUUUUUGGCCUAAGGAUGGAGUCGGCCCAAAAGGAGGC
rnacentral:lncRNA from 1 species